CUGGUUGAUCCUGCCAGUAGUCAUAUGCYUGUCUCAAAGAUUAAGCCAUGCAUGUCUAAGUAUAAGCAAUUUAUACAGUGAAACUGCGAAUGGCUCAUUAAAUCAGUUAUCGUUUAUUUGAUAGUACCUUACUACUUGGAUAACCGUGGUAAUUCUAGAGCUAAUACAUGCUUAAAAUCCCGACUGUUUGGAAGGGAUGCAUUUAUUAGAUAAAAAAUCAAUGUCUUCGGACUCUUUGAUGAUUCAUAAUAACUUUUCGAAUCGCAUGGCCUUGUGCUGGCGAUGGUUCAUUCAAAUUUCUGCCCUAUCAACUUUCGAUGGUAGGAUAGUGGCCUACCAUGGUUUCAACGGGUAACGGGGAAUAAGGGUUCGAUUCCGGAGAGGGAGCCUGAGAAACGGCUACCACAUCCAAGGAAGGCAGCAGGCGCGCAAAUUACCCAAUCCCGACACGGGGAGGUAGUGACAAUAAAUAACGAUACAGGGCCCUUUCGGGUCUUGUAAUUGGAAUGAGUACAAUGUAAAUACCUUAACGAGGAACAAUUGGAGGGCAAGUCUGGU
rnacentral:rRNA from 1 species